CCACAUAUUUCUGUUAUUAACUUUCUAUUGCUACAAAGCUCUUUCUGUUUGUUACAGUGACAUUGCUACCCAAGCCUGAGAUUUCCCACACAAUUGCAUCAUUGCUCUCCAGCACACUAAUGUAGAACUGGGAGCAGGAAAAAACACUUUUGAAACAGAAAGAGAAACAAUGAUGUAGAACAAGCUUGCUGCUACCCUGCAGCCUAUUUAAUUAACAGAAUCGAUCACUUCUUGGAAAGGAUGGAGUGAUUUGAUAGAAUUCAGGGAGAAAACACCUCCUUUUCAGGGCAAGGAUAGUUCCUUUCUGACACCCCCACUGCUUUUUUAAAUUACUUUCUGCUGAUCCCCACAGAGGAGAGAAAAAAUGAUUUUUUGUUGUUGUUGUUUUGUUGGUUCAUGUAUAUUCAGACCCUCAGACUCUCCAGAGUGAUAAGUGACUGUAUGGCAGAUUAUACUCUCAGGACAAGGUCUUAUUUGUCAUAACAGUUGCUAAUGCUAACAUGAAUUAGUUAGUCAAUUCAACAAGGUAAAUAAAUGUUUCAUAAUAUACUUUGAACACAAAGUCUUGCACACAUACAUUCAGACAUUAUAAAAUGUUUUUAAACAGAUUUUCCAAGUUAGAAAUGGGACAUAUAUUUUUAUAUAUAAACCAUCUACUUUGUGACACAAAGAAAUUUUGAAUUAAAAAUGUAGUUAACACCAAGGACAUGUAUACUUGUUCAAGCAAAAGAUGUAAUAGCCAGUUCUUCCAAAGUCCUGAACACCUGCUGAAAUAAAUGAACUCUGGACUGUAAAGACAACUACAGUCCUGUUGUUCUUCAUGGAUUGUUCUUUCUCUGAUUGUAGGUUAUUCAUAUUCAUGUGGGUGCAGCAGAUCUGCAUAGGUGCACAGAAUUUAGCCCAAUGACUACAGGAGUCAAACUGUGUACAUGGAAUAAUAUAUCACCUGCAAAGCAGACAGUCAAGCAAAAUAAUAUCACCAGAAACAUUCCACCAAAGGAAACUCUUACAGUCCCAAAUAUACUGUAUUCAUUUCAUCCUCAGAGACCUAUAAACCCUAUGUGCCUAGUUGUGUUAUAUGGAAGCUGCAGAAAUCAUGUAGAAAAUACAAGCCAAAUGAAGUUUCUGGGUGUACAAGUCACUCUAGUAGGAAUUACAUGUUCUAUCUGAAUGCUGGAGGUUUGCUUCUGCCAAAGUGGAAGGAGCUCACAGAAUUCAUAUAGCUCUGCCUUCCAGAGGUGUGUAUCCAUAUGUACAAAGAACACCAUAUUACCUCCCUUAAUUAAACACAAUUUAUCUGUUUGUUUUGGCUAAAACACUGAUUGUCACUAUACUUGCUAAAAAGCACUUUCUCUCUGUAGAAGGAAAAAAAAAAAAAAAAAAAAAAAGGUGUAUUGAUUUGUACAUUGCUCAUGCAUUUUUUCUCUCUCUUUUUUUCUUUCUCUCUCUCUCUCUCUCUUUUUUUUUUCCUUCUUCCAUUUAAAUUCCUGUUUUUUCCUUCAUGCUUUUGCAUUUUUUAUAGAACAGAGCUCUCAGCCACAGCCUGAGGGAUCUGAAGAUGCCCUCACCGAUAUACAGCACACCAGUCUGAAAUUUGCACUGUCUCCAGUUAAAUCCAUGCACUUUUCAGGAAGAUUAUUACCUACAACAGGUAUUCAGGACUGCAUCCAACCUUUUUUUUUUUUUAAGGCUGUAGACUCAACAGUGUCUCGAGGCCCUAGUGUUUAAUCAUGCACAUGCCAAAAAUAAUCAAAAGCAAAACAAAACCCAAACAAAACCAUAACCAACAACAGCAACAACAACAAAAGACCACAAUCCCACAACUUUUUUGUAUGUUGAAAAAGAAUUUGCUCUCUAUCAGCUUGUGCCCAGCGUGUGUUGCCCUGCCACUGGGCACUAUGGCAGAGAGACUGUCUUCUUUCAACUCUUCUAACACAUAUUUGCACAAAUGGAAAAGAUGUCCCUGAGACAGACCCUACACUAAACAGUCCUGGCUUUCUCAGGCUUUCCUUGUAUGAAAGAUGCUCCAGUCUCUUCAUCAUCUUUGUGAUCUUUCACUGGACCAGUAUGCCCAUGUCUUUCUUGUCCUGGGCAGCCCAGGACUGGUCCUGCACUCCAGUUGUGUCUUACCAAUGCUGAGUAAAGGGGAAUGGUCAUGCUUUGCCUAAUGCAGCCCAGGAUGCAGUUGGAUGUCUUUGUCUAAAAGGUACAUUGCCGGCUCAUCUUCAACUUGGUGUCCACCAGAACCUCCAUAUCCUAUUUUGCAAAAGUGCUUUAAAGGCAAUCAGCAUCCAGGCUGUCCUGGUGUCUGGUGUUAUUCUUUCACAAAUGCAGAAUUUGGCAUUUGUUUACCUUGGUGAUGAUUUAGCAAGGGAACACAGAUCUGUCCUCUUCUCCACAACUUACAAAUUACAGCUAAAAUUAGUAGAAGAUAUAAACUCUUGUUUCUUGUCCCGCUCUACUCUGCGCUGGUGCGACCUCACCUUGAGUACUGUGUGCAGUUCUGGGCACCACAGUAUAAAAAGGACAUGAAACUGUUGGAGAGUGUCCAGAGGAGGGCUACGAAGAUGGUGAAAGGCCUGGAGGGGAAGACGUACGGGAACGGCUGAGGGCACUGGCCUGUUCAGCCUGGAGAAGAGGAGGCUGAGGGGAGACCUCAUCGCAGUCUACAACUUCCUCGUAAGGGGGUGUCGAGAGGCAGGAGACCUUUUCUCCAUUAACAUCAGCGACAGGACCCGCGGGAACGGGGUUAAGCUGAGGCAGGGGAAGUUUAGGCUUGACAUCAGGAGGAAGUUCUUCACAGAGAGAGUGGUUGCACACUGGAACAGGCUCCCCAGGGAAGUGGUCACUGCACCGAGCCUGACUGAAUUUAAGAAGAGAUUGGACUGUGCGCUUAGUCACAUGGUCUGAACUUUUGGGUAGACCUGUGCGGUGUCAAGAGUUGGACUUAUGAUCCUUAAGGGUCCCUUCCAACUCAGGAUAUUCUAUGGUUCUAUGAUUCUUGGUUUCAGCAUAGCACACAUUGAAGACUAGUAAUUGAUAGAGGUAGUAGCUGAAAACUUCCGUGUGUGUUGACACAUGAACCUUUUUUUUUUUUUUUGUAGUAUCUGUUUGUUUGGGCAGUAUACGCUGCUGAAAAGAACUGCUAUGUCCCCCUCAGGCAUGAAAAUAAAACCUGAUUUUAUCUUUAAUUGCCA
rnacentral:lncRNA from 1 species